GUCUAAAUAGUUUAAUAAAAAUUUAAGUUUGUGGUACUUAAGAUGUAAUAAGUUUACUUUGGACU
rnacentral:tRNA from 1 species